rnacentral:lncRNA from 1 species
UGAUGAUCUAUCAGAUCUCAGCCUCAGAUUCCUCCUGAGUGGCUUAUAACAGGGAAUGUCAGCUGCAAAGAAACCCUAACAUAUGGGUCAUCCUACAGUGGGAUUAGCUACUUCAAAAUCUUCAAUAUCGAACAUAAGUGUCUCUGUUCCUGCAAAGGCAUGAUCUAAAGCAGCUUUUGCUUUCACUGUCUAGAGGGACAGAUAUUUAAAUAAAUAGCCACCCACAACUGCCAUCUCCCAAACUGCCACAGAACCUUUCAAGUUCAACAUUCUCUCUCUUCUGGGGAAGGAGCAUCACCUAAAACAUUCCGCGUGCUGUUUGAAUAGUAGCAGAGAGGCCACCAAUCUCUCUGUCCACAUGUACUCUCCAUCACACAUGCAGCAAUUUCUUCAAUGUCUGCAACACAGCCGUGGGAAUAAGUCCCUGGCAGCAGAGGCAGCUGCCCAUGUCCACUGUCAGCCCCAGGACCACCAACUCAUAGCCACAAACUGGACUCCUACCCUGAAGGGGGGCACCCACCAGUACUGCCUGGAUCUCUUGGGCUACAAGGAGCAGGAAGGAAUAGUUGCCAGCCCCAGGGUUCCCAGUGCCGAUUCCGACACUGUGAAGAAGCCCUUGGCAGUGACACUGUGUGC